CCUGACGUGCAAAGGUAGCAUAAUCAUUUGCCCUAUAAUUGAGGGCUAGUAUGAAUGGUUUGACAAGAGCAAUACUGUCUCCAUAGAAAUUAAUAGAAAUUAUUUUUUAGGUGAAGAAUCCUAAAUAAAAUUAAAAGACAAGAAGACCCUAUCGAGCUUUAAAUUUAUUGAUAAAAUAAAGAAAAUUAUAAAUAUUUCUGAUUAUAAAAAAUUUUGGUUGGGGCGACUAAGGAACAAAAAAAGCUUCUUUAUAAAUUUAAGAUUUAUAAUUAAUGAUCCAUUAUUUAUAGAGAUUAAAAGAAUUAUUUACCGUAGGGAUAACAGCAUAGUCCUUUUUGAGAGUUCAU
rnacentral:rRNA from 1 species